UAUUGACUAGCGCUCCAACCCAUUGUACGUGAUAGGCUAAGGGAGCGGGACAUCUCUAAGUGCUUGACCAAUGACAACAGAGACACAGUAGAGGCACUAAAUUACUAGGAGCAG